GGAUCCAGACUUUGAUUCUGGCUCAGGAUGAACGCUAGCGGCAGGCUUAACACAUGCAAGUCGAGGGGCAGCGCGGGGCGGCAACGUCCUGGCGGCGACCGGCGGAAGGGUGCGUAACGCGUGAGCGACAUGCCCGUUGCCCGGGGACAACCGGUGGAAACGCCGACUAAUCCCCGAUGGGACGGAGGCCCUCAUGGGUCUCUGUUGAAAGUUACGGCGGCGACGGAUUGGCUCGCGUCCGAUUAGCUUGUUGGCGGGGUAACGGCCCACCAAGGCUACGAUCGGUAGGGGUUCUGAGAGGAAGGUCCCCCACAAUGGAACUGAGACACGGUCCAUACUCCUACGGGAGGCAGCAGUGAGGAAUAUUGGUCAAUGGGCGGAAGCCUGAACCAGCCAUGCCGCGUGCGGGAAGGAGGCCCUAUGGGCUGUGAACCGCUUUUGCCUGGGGGCAAUAAGGGCGUCGUGCACGUCCGAUGAGAGUACCAGGCGAAUAAGCAUCGGCUAACUCCGUGCCAGCAGCCGCGGUAAUACGGGGGAUGCGAGCGUUAUCCGGAUUCAUUGGGUUUAAAGGGUGCGUAGGCUGUGCGUCAAGUCAGGGGUGAAAUUCCGGGGCUCAACUCCGGGGCUGCCCUUGAUACUGUCGCGCUGGAGUGCGGAUGCCGCCGGAGGAAUGAGUGGUGUAGCGGUGAAAUGCUUAGAUAUCACUCAGAACACCGAUUGCGAAGGCAUCUGGCGAAUCCGUAACUGACGCUGAGGCACGAAAGCGUGGGGAUAGAACAGGAUUAGAUACCCUGGUAUUCCACGCCGUAAACGAUGAUGGCUAACCGCCGGCGACACACUGUCGGUGGCCAAGCGAAAGCGAUAAGCCAUCCACCUGGGGAGUACGUCGGCAACGAUGCAACUCAAAGGAAUUGACGG
rnacentral:rRNA from 1 species